rnacentral:misc_RNA from 1 species
GAUGAAGAACGCAGUGAAAUGCGAUACGUAAUGUGAAUUGCAGAAUUCAGUGAACCAUCGAAUCUUUGAACGCACAUUGCGCCCGCUGGAACUCCGGCGGGCACGCCUGUCCGAGCGUCAUUUCAACCCUCAGGCCCCCCUUCGCGGGCGGGCCUGGUGUUGGGGCCCGGCCGCUACCCUGCGGCCGUCCCCUAAAUUCAGUGGCGGCCUCGCCGUGAUCCCUUGCGUAGUAAUGCACCUCGCACCGGAGAGCGCCGUGGCCACGCCGUAAAACCCCCAAUUUUCAAUGGUUGACCUCGGAUCAGGUGGGAAUACCCGCUGAACUUAAGCAUAUCAAUAAGCGGAGGA